rnacentral:rRNA from 1 species
GACGAACGCUGGCGGCGUGCCUAAUACAUGCAAGUCGAACGAACCGCGACUAAGUGCUUGCACUAAGUCAAGGUGAGUGGCGAACGGGUGAGUAACACGUGGGUAACCUACCUCAUAGUGGGGGAUAACAGUCGGAAACGACUGCUAAUACCGCAUAGGACAUAGGAUCACAUGAUCCAGUGAGGAAAGGUGGCGCAAGCUAUCGCUAAGAGAUGGACCCGCGGUGCAUUAGCUAGUUGGUAGGGUAAAGGCCUACCAAGGCGAUGAUGCAUAGCCGACCUGAGAGGGUGAUCGGCCACAUUGGGACUGAGACACGGCCCAAACUCCUACGGGAGGCAGCAGUAGGGAAUCUUCCGCAAUGGACGCAAGUCUGACGGAGCAACGCCGCGUGAGUGAAGAAGGUCUUCGGAUCGUAAAGCUCUGUUGUUAGAGAAGAACAGCGCAUAGAGUAACUGCUAUGCGUGUGACGGUAUGUAACCAGAAAGCCACGGCUAACUACGUG